rnacentral:lncRNA from 1 species
UCCAGUAGCAUAACCAGUAUUUUCAAAUAAUGAAGUUAUAAUAUCAACUAAAAAGGUUUAUCGGGCUAUUUCGUCGAGAACCUAAUAGAUACCUUCUAAUUCUUGUCAACAUAUGUUGAAAGUUUAUGUCGACAUUUAUUGAGGCUUAUUGAGAGUGAAUGCAGGAUAUUGUGGAGAGUAAUGUUGAAAACUGCCAAGGCUUUUCAACUAAAAUAUUUCAUACAUGAAGAGAGAAAAAAAGACAAAUAUGAUAGAAGAAAAUAAAAGAAGUAGGAGAAAGAAGUUGUAAUUUAAUUUGUCUUAAAUGUUUUUAGAAAUAAAAAACGAUAUACAAACAAAUAUAUAGGACUUUUGAAGUUGCUAGGAUCAA